rnacentral:rRNA from 1 species
UACGGAGGAUCCAAGCGUUAUCCGGAUUUAUUGGGUUUAAAGGGUGCGUAGGCGGCCUAUUCAGUCAGGGGUGAAAGACGGUAGCUUAACUAUCGCAGUGCCUUUGAUACUGAUGGGCUUGAAUACACUAGAGGUAGGCGGAAUGUGACAAGUAGCGGUGAAAUGCAUAGAUAUGUCACAGAACACCAAUUGCGAAGGCAGCUUACUAUGGUGCAAUUGACGCUGAGGCACGAAAGCGUGGGGAUCAAACAGG